AGUGAGAGAUCACGUACCUGUGGCUGACCACGCCCCCUUGGUCACGGAACCACUCCUCCUCCAUUUCCCUUCAGAAAAGAUCACGUCACCCAGGUACAUCAAUUGAACAUGGCAGAACAAUUUGCAAGAAGACUAGCCAUAAACCAUUGUAUCAAAGUUGGAUGAGGCAACCCCAGGAAACAGGUCUCUGAGUCAUCCAGCUUCUGGAACCUGGCCAUGUAGGCCAUGUUGAACAUGGACUUCCUCUAGUGAUAUGGGCAUCAGGAGAGAACAGUCAUGAGUUGGCCCUCCCAUAAGCUCUAAGCCACCAUGGCUGCAGGGCAUCUUGUAAGCAGGACAGUUUGUGGGUCAAAGACUUUGUGGGAGCCACCUCUGGUUAAGGAAGAUGGCUGGUUCUUCUUAAGCAUCAUUUCUCAAUAAAAGUUUAUUUGGGUUCUUAGUGGAUAUUUAGCAGUUUUGUGAACAAAGUAAAUAUAUUGAGGUCCAAGAUUCUCCUCUAAGCAUCUCACAACUCCAAGGUAGCCCCAUCCAUUUGAGGUUGGAAGAUCGUGCUUUAACAAUGUAUGAAGUUAUUUGAUAGUAAGAUGACUUAUUCAGGAUUCCUGCCUUCUGCUGCUCACUGUUAAGUUUCUUCCACUUGGAAUGCUAGUGAGUCUCAAGUAUGAGACAUGUUCCUAGUGAGUCUCAAGUGUGAGACAUGUUCAUGAGACCUAGAUAUGUCAUAGCAUUCCUGGUCACAGUCGAAUGGAACAAUUGCCUUCUUCAAACUAUUUCAACAGUGCUAUAGUAGAUGCCAUCAGUCAGGGCCUGCUCUUAUCUUCUAAAGAAAGCUACUGCUGAAAAGGAACUAAGACACGAUAAGCUGACAAAACACAUUUAAUGGAAAGGAGCUCACUCACAUCUGCUCUUAGCAUACGCCUCUGAUUACAGAGUGCUCUACUAACCUCUCUGUGAUGACAGCUUUAGGCACCUCUACCUCCUAACUUUAAAGAAAUUAAAGUUUACAGUGCAGACAGAAAACCAUCUUACUCACCAAACUCUGAAGUCAUAGAUCAUUCCCUUAAGUGUAGAAACAAAAGCAUGCAGUCUUGAAGAAAUUAAAGUGCUUAUUUUGUGUGUGUGUGUGUGUGUGUGUGAAGCAGCUUUACAAUGAAGAAAUUACAUCACAAAUUCCUCAAACUACAAAGUCUGUUACUCAGAUAAAAACUCUCAUAAUAAUAGGUGAUUGUUCUUGAACAUGCAUGAUAUCAUUAUUUGAUGAAAACCUUUAAACAUUUUAGACUUUGUGAAGGUCUUUCACAGUCAUUUAUAAUUGUUAGAGUAGCUGUUCAUAUUAGGAAAAUAGUAUAGAUGCUUAAGCUCUCUUAUUUAUUCAUAAUCAUAAUAUUAAUAAAUUAUUUCUUUAAACUUCAUUGGAUGAAUUACAUACUUUUCUGUCAAAAAUGUGAAUGCGAUUUAGUGUACUCAAUUGCACAAGUUUCUGAAGUAAAACACUUGGUUUCACCUUAAUUUUCUCAUUAAGUAAAUAUAAAAAUAAUGGCAAUCAAAUGCCUCCCAAAGAUAUUUCAUAAAACAUGUAAAGACUGCAAUAUCAUGGUGUAAUUUUUGUAGAUACAAGAUAUUAAAUGGAAAUGAGUCUUGCAUGACUAUCGAGGUAAUUGAACAAUGUUUCAUUAUUAUGAAGUGCAGACAAGAGUCACUCAUAGCCCA